ACCGCUGGUGACGGCCCAUUAUUACUUUUGGUACGCGCUGUGACACUUCAAACUCGUACCGUGAGUAAUAAUGCGCUGUGGCCAGCACG
rnacentral:pre_miRNA from 1 species